CUCACUCUCUCUUUCUCUCUAAAUAAAUAAAUAAAAUCUUUUUUUUUUUUAAGCAGGAUUCCAUAAUACUUUAUAUUUCAGAAUUUGAAAAGCUACCUCUAGUAAGGUAUUUUUUAAUUAUAACAAGACAAAGUGAAAGCCUUCUUAUUAAGUUAGUGAUGCUUAUGAUCUAAUUCCAUAGAAAGAGGAAACCUGUACACACUAAUUCCUAUUUCUUCCUCCCUGUCUCCAACCUGUGGCAACUAUCAUUCCACUUUCGCUGUAAAUCUGACUACUCCUUAAGUAUCUCAUGUAAGUGGAAUCACAUAGUUGUUUUCAUAAUUUCCUUUUCAGAUUGUUCAUUGUUAGUGUAUAAAAAUGCAGCUGGUUUUGGGGUGUUGCUUUUUGUAUCUUACUAUGGAAUCUUUAGGGUUUUCUGCAUUUAAGAUUAUAUCAUCAAACUGUACGCCUUCUACGUCUUUUUCUUGCCUCAUUGCUCUAGCUAGGAUUCCUAGUACUAGGUUGAACAGAAGUGGCAAAAGUGGGCACCUCGUCUUGUUCCUGAUCUUAGAGAAAAGCUUUCAGUGUUUCCCCACUAAGUAUGAUGUUUGCUGUAGGUUUGCGUAUAUGGCUCCUGUGUGUUUUACAGGCUCAGAAGGGUACUUUGUAUGUGAGGUCACACAGCUAGUUUACAGUAGAACCAGGACAGGAAGCGAGGCCGUUUGGAUGGAGACACACGUCCUCUCACCAGUCUCACCGUCCCCAAGCAAGGUUACCAGCACACUACAGGGUCUGAGGAUGAUGUUUAGACUGGUUAUAAUUGAAUGAGCAGCUGAGUAGACAUGACUGGGCAUGGCUCUGGAGAGGAUGCCUUCACGUUUCCAGGCCAACUUCCACUUACUUCAGGAUACCUCAGGUCUGAGAAUCGUACCUGCCUUAUCCUUGACAUAUAAGUACGAGGGAACUGUAUUUCUUCAUGAAAUGGGAGCAGUGAAGCAUUAAGGAGGCUGACAAAAGUAGGGGCUACGUGUAAGUUUGUGAGCUGAGGAGGAAGAUUGAGAAUUACUACAGUCAUGUACACGAUUUACCCAACUUUAUUAUUCACCUCUCCUUGGUGUUAAAUGCUCACACUCUAUUUUUAUUCUCUACUGUCCGAAAAUAAUGAGAGGUAAGUGUGGUGCCUGGGGAUAUUUGUUUGUUGCCUCAUAGAAUUUUUCUUUUUUUGUUUAGACUUCAGCGAAUCUAAAUUGAGAAAGCGCUAGAUAGCAGAAUUUUGAUAGUAUACAAAGAUCAGAUCUUACUCUGAAGCCUCAUAUGUCUUAUUUCCAGUUAUUGAAGUUACAUUGUGAGGAAAAGCUAUCAGUGACCUGACAGAAACUUCCAGAAACAAUAUUGAAGCAAGGCUAUCUGACCUCUUCAAGUGUCAGGCCCUUUUUGAAGACUCGGAGGCUGUUUUGGCCUCUGCACUGCGUGUUAGAGAAUAGU